rnacentral:rRNA from 1 species
UACGUAGGGUGCAAGCGUUGUCCGGAUUUAUUGGGCGUAAAGAGCUCGUAGGCGGUUUUGAAAGUCGGGUGUGAAACCUCCAGCUACACCUGGAGACGCCACUCGAUACUUCAAUGACUUGAGUUCGGUAGGGGUAAGCGGAAUUCCUGGUGUAGCGGUGAAAUGCGCAGAUAUCAGGAGGAACACCGACGGCGAAGGCAGCUUACUGGGCCGAUACUGACGCUGAGGAGCGAAAGCGUGGGGAGCGAACAGG